UGGGGAUCUGCCCAGUAGUGGGGAACAACUCCGAGAAAUCGGAGCUAAUACCGCAUACGAUCUAUGGAUGAAAGCGGGGGAUCGCAAGACCUCGCGCGAUUGGAGCGGCCGAUAUCAGAUUAGCUAGUUGGUGGGGUAAAAGCCUACCAAGGCGACGAUCUGUAGCUGGUCUGAGAGGACGACCAGCCACACUGGGACUGAGACACGGCCCAG
rnacentral:rRNA from 1 species